rnacentral:lncRNA from 1 species
GGAAAAUGGCAGAGCCGGGCGGGGCCAGGGGGUGGGGAGGGAGGAACAACUGGCUGAGGCCUUGGGGAUGCUGGAGCCAGGUAGCAGCCACUGUGCCUUGGCAGACCGUCACAGGGCUGUUCAUCAAUGUUCCAGUUCUCCUUUUCCAGGCACUUCCCGACCCUUGGUGGGUAGGGGGCACUGCAUAGGGACUUAGACCACCCCUGUCCCACCUCUCCUCCAGGCCUGGGUCCUUCCCAUGGCCACCUGCUGACCACUGGGGACUUCUGUGUCAUCCCUCCAGCUCUGAAGAUUCCUCUCAGUGAACUUCUUAGCUAAGCCUGCCAGCCCACAGCCUUCUCUCGUGUCCUGCCUGGCGAGGGGUCUGGCUGGUGUUGAAGGCAGCUCCAGGGCCUCACCUCACACUGCACAAUGACCCACGGUGCCCUGGACAAGAGGCUGCCCUUGGCAUUCCAGGCAAAAAGUUGCUUCCCUGAAAUGUUCUCCAGCGGGAAGCUAAGAGUGUGCCUGCCUCCCUUCCUGACCUCCUGCCCCUUCAGAAGCAUCCCUGCAGCUCCUGCCUACACCUGGCAGGGAGCACCGCUACAGAGUUUGCUGCUGUACCGGCUCAGAAACGGGAAUUCCCAGCACAGGGCCAUCGGCGAGCCUCCCAGCUGGAGUGUGGGCAGAGGCAGACACUGGGGCUGCAGGGGAGUGGCCCCCAGGGUGUGAAUAGGAGGGCAUCCUACAGGCUCCAGACAUUGCCAUGCGUGUUGCUGUGAUUAACCCCCAAACCCAUCUCCAUCAUUCAUUCACUCCUUCAUUUGUUCAUCCUAUUGUCCCAGGAGCUGGGCUAUAACAGAAAGGAGACAGGCCACAGACAGACAGGCAAGGCCAUCCCAGGCAGUGAGAGGCGACGUGAACUCUGUGAACUGAGAUGAUAAGGAAGAGAGGAGAAGGGUGGGGCCGCUUUAGAAAGGCUGCUGGGGAUGCCCUGUUUGAGGAGGUGAUCCUGUCACUGGCCCAACGUGGAGCUUGUGCAUGGCUCUCCACUACCUCCCAACUCAGUCCAGGGGCUUCUGCUCGGCAUUCAAUGCCCUCCACUGUGGGGGCCCUGCC